rnacentral:rRNA from 1 species
AUUGAACGCUGGCGGAAUGCUUUACACAUGCAAGUCGAACGGCAGCACGGGUGCUUGCACCUGGUGGCGAGUGGCGAACGGGUGAGUAAUGCACCGGAACGUAUCCAAUAAUGGGGGAUAACGCACCGAAAGGUGUGCUAAUACCGCAUACGCCCUGAGGGGGAAAGCGGGGGAUCGUAAGACCUCGCGUUAAUGGAGCGGCCGAUGCCGGAUUAGCUAGUUGGUGAGGUAAAGGCUCACCAAGGCGACGAUCCGUAGCUGGUCUGAGAGGACGACCAGCCACACUGGAACUGAGACACGGUCCAGACUCCUACGGGAGGCAGCAGUGGGGAAUUUUGGACAAUGGGCGCAAGCCUGAUCCAGCCAUUCCGCGUGAGUGAGGAAGGCCUCGGGUUGUAAAGGCUCUUUCG